rnacentral:rRNA from 1 species
GACGAACGCUGGCGGCGUGCCUAAUACAUGCAAGUAGAACGCUGAAGCUUGGUGCUUGCACCGAGCGGAUGAGUUGCGAACGGGUGAGUAACGCGUAGGUAACCUGCCUGGUAGCGGGGGAUAACUAUUGGAAACGAUAGCUAAUACCGCAUAACAGUAGAUAUCGCAUGAUAGCUACUUGAAAGGUGCAAAUGCACCACUACCAGAUGGACCUGCGUUGUAUUAGCUAGUUGGUGAAGUAACGGCUCACCAAGGCAACGAUACAUAGCCGACCUGAGAGGGUGAUCGGCCACACUGGGACUGAGACACGGCCCAGACUCCUACGGGAGGCAGCAGUAGGGAAUCUUCGGCAAUGGACGGAAGUCUGACCGAGCAACGCCGCGUGAGUGAAGAAGGUUUUCGGAUCGUAAAGCUCUGUUGUAAGAGAAGAACGAGUGUGAGAGUGGAAAGUUCACACUGUGACGGUAUCUUACCAGAAAGGGACGGCUAACUACGUG